AUCAAUUAUGAUAUCAGUAAACCUAACAUUAUUCCUAUAAAUGUAAACAGUGAUAACAAAACAAACACUAAAAUUUUAUUUUAAUAAAAUUAACAAGUUUACUAACCAAAAGUGAAAAUUGGGCCACGCCAUAAUAUCAAUGAAGAUAUUAUCAAAAAUUAAAAAUGCUGGUAAGCAGAAAGCAGGAAAAAAACGGUAUUUUAUCGUAGGAAGGAACGAUUCUAUAUCUAAUAAUAGAGGUACUGUACAAAAAUCAGUAUCGCUGCAUGUUUCUGGACCUGCACCUACAACCAAGAUUAUUAGAAAAUGUUAACCAGCGAUCACUCGCGCAGUUAAUUAUUACGUUGUUACUCGCGUGUUAGAUUUAAUCUAACAAAUGAAUUUUAGACAAUUUUAUAUAAAAAUAAAAUACAGUGUGGUAUUA